rnacentral:lncRNA from 1 species
ACUAUAACAUAAAAAGGAUGAAGUAGAUUGAACAAUAUUUUCUUCAAACCUGCUCAAAAGAUCCAAAAUGACCAGCAGAACAAUAAUAACUUUGAAAACCAACCAUCACAGGCAUUAGAGAAGGUAGCUGGUCCACAAAGGGAUGAAAUCAAUCUAAUUUGGUUUAGGUCGAAACAACAUAAACUGGACGAGACUACCCACAUCAUUCUUCAGAGACAUUCACUAGGGUCUAACCAUAAUUCUUCUUCAAAUAUAAGUACUUGGAUCAAAAUAACCAUUACAGGCAUUAGAGAAGGUAGCUGGUCCACAAAGGGAUGAAAUCAAUCUAAUUUGGUUUAGGUCGAACCAACAUAAACUGGAUGAGACUACCCACAUCAUUCUUCAGAGACAUUUACUAGUGUCUAACCAUAAUUCUUCUUCAAAUAUAAGUACUUGGAUCAAAAUACAAAAUGAAAAGUGAGCAUAAUUAUAACAGCAGGGAACACCAGCAUACAGAUGAAGAACCUUAC